CUCAACUUAUUUCCAAACUUCGAACCUCCUUGUUAGGCAUUUACCUAACUGGAAAUGCUUAAAUGAAUAGCGUACAAGUGGGCUCUGACCGGUAAGCGGUCAUGGCGAAAUGGGAUGAACCAUACGUCUGAAUAAGGUGCCGAAAUGUACUAUCACUGAUACCAUAAAGGGAGUCCAUGUAUUUAGACAGCAGGUCGGUGCCCCUAAAAGCAGGUAUCCGCUAAAGAGUGUGUUAAAACUCACCUGCCGAAUACUAGGGCCCCGAAAAUGAAUGGCGCAUAUAGUACUACCGAUCUCAGACAUCAGUUCUAUUGAACUGAGAGUAGGGGGAUGUGGACAUUUUUGUGAAGGUGCAAUGUGAGUUGGACUGGAAGAAUGUCUAUUACAGAUCCUAAUUGAAGUAGCGAUUAUCCAGGCUUGUAUCCUGGGGGCUGAUGAGGAGUAGGGUUUCUGGACAACUUAAACAGAUCCAGAGUUAGUCGAUCCUAAUCUCAAUAAUGGGAGAAAGGGAGUACAGUUGAUAUUCUGUAACUGACAACAGUUCGCGGCAACGCAUACUAUUUUUCUCCGCCAAUCUUAUACCGUUGGUAGGGAUCUCUUUCCUACAUGACAGUACUAAUACCCAGGGAAACUGGUCAUCAGGCGAACUGCGGCGUUCUGCUGGCAAAACAUAGCUUCGGUUAUGUCAAUGGCUAUUGGAUUGGUCCAUGAAGCGAAAAAUAGUUUACUGUGUCACUCGUACCGAUAACCGCAUCAGGUCUUCUAGGUAAGUAGCCUAUGGCCAUUGAGGCAUGAUAGUUCAGGGAAUUCGGCCAAUUAGAGCUGUAACUUCGGGAUAAAGCUUGGCUCUGAUGAAAAUCAGAACCGAUUGUUACGCGGAGAGCCCAACUGUUUAAUAAAAACGUAGUGUCGCGCUGUGGUAGUAUAGCCAGUGAACGCGACAUGAAUCCUGCUCAGUGCUGUGUCUGUUAAUAUGGUUCAAGCCAACGAAGCACCGGUAAAUAGCUGGGGUAACUAUGACUCUUAUCAAAGUAGCGAAAUACCUCGUCACUUAAUU
rnacentral:ncRNA from 2 species